rnacentral:ribozyme from 11 species
AAAGAAGAGACAAAAGAAACAGAAGUGAAAGGUUUGUUUCAGCUCUUUGGGGUUUGCGAUGGUUUGCUUUGCUUUUUUGUUUGUGUGUUUGUUUUGUUUGUUUGUUUGU